CAACAACCUGGGAUUAGCUAUGGACGAAGUUCACACAGCGAUACACUGGUGUGUUCACAUUUUCGAGCCUCAAAGAGUCCCAUGCGGGCAAAGCUGGUCACCAAGGAGACAAUGCCUGACAAUGUUCCCCAACAACUGAGGGUGGGGGAGGUUGCUGGUAGCUGAGGACUCAAGAGGAAAUACAGAUGGGCUUCCCAUUUUUGUCAUACUGGUACACCAACAUCUUGAUGCAGUGGGAGUUGGCAGGAUAGCUGAAUAGCCCAGGAGGGCUUUCAUUUUUUUUACUAAAAAAACCAUGGAAACGGCCUGGAUCUGAUUUAUCCCACUGCUGCUUCUACCAAUGCAUGACCUCUGCGCGCCUGCAUCAGACAGGAGGAGCACAGCUUUCGACCUCUCACGUGAUACUGCACUUUGGUAUGGUGUAAUAAACAGGCUCAUUACACGUCUUCUUUCUUUGUUGUCCUGUUCUGUUCCCUGCUUCCCACUGUCACCAUGUGUGCACAUGAUUCCCAGGUGACUGUGUGAGCUUGCUUAAAUGUUUCCCAAACCUGGAAGAGACUAUACACAAGACAAUGGCUUUGCUUACACUGUAGUGUUGCUGGGAUGUAAAAGGAAUAAAAUCUGUUGAAUGAAUCAUUGUAAAUAUCGGUACAGAGAAUUCUAAAUAUUAGUAUUAGUAUAGUAUUGUACGUCAACUGUUUUUUUUAAAACAGGUUUAGUAGA